UUUUAACUCCCUCGUUUAAGCGAUAUAGAUGUUUGAAAUUCACGUGACGUCACAGUGUAAGCUGUGCUGUGUGUUGUGAGUUCGGCUUUCACCAGUUACACGUGAACGCCUCAUGAAAUGGCUUACACCCACAUACCCGGUAAAUUACACACUUUGAUGUUCUGCUCCUUCUCCUGACGGUCACGGUAACGAUGUCUGCGCCUCCGUUUCUGUGGAUGUCCAGCGUGAGACACAACUUGAAUCCAACCAGACUGAACACUGACUCCAGGGACGGACGAGCCUGAAGGACACAGCUGUGAUGACCAAUUGACCAUGUUUUGUCUCUUAUGGCAAAGCAGAAAUAUUAAACACUGGGUUCUUAUCUAAAGUGUAUCAAAUCAGAAAGCAAAAGAUACACAUUGUUGUUAUAAGUUUUUAUUAUUUUAACCAACCAUAAUGAAGAUAGAAAUGAAUUCUUAUCCAUGCCACUUAGCAAUGACUGCCACCACCAACAGUUGCAGGCCAUCUUUAUUUAAGGGAGGAAUUUAGAAGUGUUGUGUAGCUUCUGAUGAUGAUGCAGUCGUCCACGUGUUGACCACCAUGUUGCUGCUGACGACGUCAGGUGCUGCAGUUCCUCAUCUAUGAAGAGAAGAAACGCACUGUUAAAGAAUGUUUUGAGUUGUGUAUGAAGCACAACAGAUUUCAGAUAGAACCGUUGUACUGUGGUCUGGGUUUGUAUCCUAAUGGUUAAAUGCACAUAUUUUAAGUCGCUUUUGAUAAAAGUACUGAAAGAAAUACAACAUUGUAAAAAUAGAUAAAAUGUCUUUCUACCUCAUCUGUAAUAUUCAAGGUGAUAAUCUCCCACAGAGCUAUUGAUAACAGUCCACAUCAAGUCUCUCCACUUCCCUCAGUGUGAAAACAUAAUUAUACAAUUAAUUUGAGAACUGUUUACAACACUGAUGUGUGGAGAUUAAAAUCAUAUCUAAACUGUCUAAUUCACUGUAAAACUCCAUGACAUUCGCAGGCCAUCUGUAGUUAAGGGAGCAACGUAUGGAGUGAUGUGUAGAGGGCAGAAACUUGGACUAUGGGCAGAGAAGGUCUCUGGUUCGUCUCCGGUUCGACUCCACGGAGAGACAACAAAAGACAAACCUGGAUUGAUCUGUCCAAAAAUCCAAGAGUCUCCCUACCCUCUCUAGUGCCCCUGAGCAAGGCACCUCACUCCCCCAACAUCUGCUCCGUGAGCGCCGUACAUGGUCGCUCACUGCUCUGUGUGUCCUGCACCAGAUGGGUAAAAAGCAGAGAUUAAAUUUCCCUACCUGCAUGAGUGUGCCUUUGCAUGUCUGUGCAUGUGUUUGGGACGAAUAAAUGGGUCUUAAUCUUAAUCUUUUAAUCUUAAUCAGUUGUCUUCCAGUUGACCAGCAUGAAGCUGCAAAUCUCCACCAUGUUGCUGCUGAGGACAUCAGGAGCUGCAUUAAUGAGGAGCAGAAGCGCACUGUUAUGAAUGUUUUGUGUUGUGUAUGAAGCACCACAUAUUUCAGAUAGAACCGAUGUACUGGGGUCUGGGUUUGUAUACUAAUGGUUAAAUGCACAUACUUUAAAUCGCUUUUGAUAAAA